AACAUGGUGAAUCACGGCUAAUCUACCAUGGUCAUCAACUCCAAAGCCAUGCCUACCCUUGUUGCUACGAAAUUGUCUCGAUAUCCCCGCAAUACCACAGCUUUGAUUUUCUUCAAUAAAAAUGCCUUCAAUUCAUUGUUUCUUUUAAAAUGGCCGCAUAGCUUAGAUCUGUCAAUACCAAUCCAGUACAGUACCAUCAUUGCUUCUCUUUUAGUCAACUUGAGCUCCUCUAAAAUUGAUAUGCCCUCUUCUUCUUAAUUGACAAUCUUCUCUACUAAUUUGGAUCUACUUACAUGCUUAUAAUCAACAACUUCUUUUUGCUCUAACCCUCACCUUUUUUUUCUUAGAUUCUCGUACUCAUCCUCUAAAAUUAAAUCACAAUUUGAUCUUCUAUGU
rnacentral:lncRNA from 1 species